GGAGAAGGUGCUACUUCUACAAUUUGAUCAUUGAGCUGAUGUAAGGUACCUGGGAUCAUAGAGAUUAUAAAUAACACUAGAGAAGGCAUCUAGUUUAAAAAUUGGGAACGCAGCUAAUGGGGGGCAAAUUCAAGUCCCGGAUACAAAAUCGUGCUCUCAUUGGCUGAUUUGAAACUCGUCACCAAUGGGAACACGAAUACACAUCCGGGACUUGAAUUUGCCCCCCAAUAGUCGCGUUCCAUUUUUUUUACUGAAUUAAGAUUACAAUGCCUCCUCUAGUGUUAUUUAUAAUCUCUAUGCCUGG
rnacentral:lncRNA from 1 species